rnacentral:tRNA from 1 species
GGGCCUGUGGUCUAGUGGUUAAAGUGAUUCCACUAAUGACGUCACCCUCACACGGUGGAGGUCGCCGGUUCGACUCCGGCCAGGCCCA